rnacentral:piRNA from 1 species
UGCAGAAAAUUUUCGUGCGUUGUGUACAG